GUCAUUAGAGGAAGUAAAAAGUCGUAACCAAGGGUUUCCGUAGGUGAACCUGCGGAAGGAUCAUUAUUGAAAUAAACCUGAUGGGUUGUUGCUGGUUCUCUAGGGAGCAUGUGCACGCCUUGUCAUCUUUAUAUCUCCACCUGUGCACCUUUUGUAGACCUUUCAGGUCUAUGUUGCUUCAUUUACCCCAAUGUAUGUUAAUAGAAUGUUGUGCCUAUAUAAUAUAUACAACUUUCAGCAACGGAUCUCUUGGCUCUCGCAUCGAUGAAGAACGCAGCGAAAUGCGAUAAGUAAUGUGAAUUGCAGAAUUCAGUGAAUCAUCGAAUCUUUGAACGCACCUUGCGCUCCUUGGUAUUCCGAGGAGCAUGCCUGUUUGAGUGUCAUUAAUAUAUAUAUCAAACCUUCUCUUGUAGAGUGGUUUGGAUGUGGGGGUUUGCUGGCCUUUUAGAGGGUUCAGCUCUCCUGAAAUGCAUUAGCAGAACAACCUGUUCAUUGGUGUGAUAACUAUCUACGCUAUUGAAUGUGAAGGGCAGUUCANGCUUUCUAACANGUCCUUGGACAAUUCAUCAUUAAUGUGACCUCAAAUCAGGUAGGACUACCCUGCUGAACUUAAGCAUAUCAAUAAGCGGAGGAAAAGAAACUAACAAGGAUUCCCCUAGUAACUGCGAGUGAAGCGGGAAAAGCUCAAAUUUAAAAUCUGGCGGUCUUUUGGCUGUCCGAGUUGUAAUCUAGAGAAGUGCU
rnacentral:rRNA from 1 species